AGGGCCAAAGGUUUUUCAGGAUUUUGGACUUGGAUGAAGAUAACUUGCCAAUGGAGAGAGCAUUGGGAAUUCAGUGGUGUGCUGAAACGGAUCAGUUCAAGUUCAAAAUUAACCUCAAAGUUCGACCACACACUAGGAGAGGCCUGCUUUCCCUCGUCUGUUCCAUUUUUUGAUCCGAUGGGUUUUUCUUGCUCCAGUGGUACUGCCUGCCAAAAGAAUCUUGCAAGACUUAUGCCGGCAGAAGUAUAGCUGGGAUGAAGAUCUGCCUGAUAACGUCAUUAAGAGUUGGAAAAGGUGGAUGUCGGGAUUGAAACAGCUUGAGACCUUUGGAGUUGACAGAUGUGUUAAGUCAAAGCAGUUUGGUGUGCCAGUCUUUGCACAGUUACAUCAUUUUGCUGAUGCUAGUCAAGACGCAUAUGGAACAACAAGUUACCUACUGCUACGCACUGCAAGUGGUGAAGCUCAAUCCACCCUGAUUAUGGCAAAGGCAAGGGUUGCGCCCUUAAAGUCUCCAACCAUACCAAGAAUGGAAUUGACUGCAGCCACAGUUGCUGUCAAGAUGGACAAGCUUCUGAAGAAAGAGCUUGAACUGGAACUUAACGAGUCAAUUUUUUGGACAGAUAGCACGGCUGUGCUGAAAUAUUUGAACAGCGAAGGCACAAGAUUCAAGACUUUCGUUGCCAAUAGGAUCACAACAAUCCUGGAGCACUCUCAGACUUCACAGUGGAGAUAUGUGAAUACCAAUCUGAACCCUGCUGAUCAUGUCUCGAGAGGACUGACUGUUGAAGCGUUCUUGAAUAAUGAAAGCUGGCUUUCAGGACCAAGUUUCCUGCUCUGUACACAAGACCAGUGGCCCAAAAAUCCAGAUUUUGGAAUGCUGGACAUUGAGGACUCUGAGGUUAAAAAGGUAGUUGAAGUGCAUGUUAUUCAGACGCAAGAGUCCAAAGAUGCUAUGGAACAGUUGAUGACCUAUUACUCAUCCUGGACAAAACUAAAACGCGCUGUCGCCUGGUUUCUGAAAUUUAAAGAUUUGCUUAAGGAACUGAAAGCAAAGAGAAAGGAACCAAACUCACAUGGAGAAAACAAAAUGAAUCAGUUCAAGAAAGCUUUCAAAGGAACGCACCUAACCAGUUUAAAAGUUUUGU
rnacentral:lncRNA from 1 species